CUCUUAAUCCGAUCACCUGGCACCAUGAACAGAGGCAAAAAACGAAACUUCACGGAGUCUGAGCUCGAGAUUUUGCUCCACGAGGUAGAAAUGCGCAAGCAUAUGCUAUUGGAACCCUGUCAACAGGGAUAAAUGCAAAACAAAAGAGAAGUGAGUGGGAGUGUGUUUGCGAGGCCGUCAAUGCAGUGGGGUCUCAGCAGCGCACACACUCUGAAAUUAAAAAAAAGUGGUCAGACCUCAAGGUGGAGGUGAAGCGGAGGGUUUCUGCCCACCGCCGAAGCGUGACCGCAACAGGUGGGGGGACGGGAGUGGGGGAACUCUCCCCCUUCGAUUUGAGAGUGGCCGCUUUGAUCGGUGACACAGCUCUCACCGGAGUGGUGGGAGCCCAUGAAGGGGACGCCGAGCAUCCCCAAGACAAGCAAGGAGAGGGCACGG
ensembl:lncRNA